rnacentral:tRNA from 1 species
GCUUCCAUGGUGAAAUUGGUAGACACGGUAGAUUCAAAAUCUUCUUUUUGUAGGUUCGAAUCCUACUGGAAGCA